UGCCAGCCGCCGCGGUAAUACAGAGAAUGCGAGCGUUGUUCGGAAUCACUAAACAUAAAACGCGUGUAGGCGGCACGUUAAAUCGAAUAUGAAAGCCCAGGGCUCAACCUUGGAACUACAUCCGAUACUGACAAGCUAGAAUCCCGGAGGGGAUGGUGGAAUUCCAGGUGUAGAGGUGAAAUUCGUAAAUAUCUGAAGGAACACCCGUGACGAAGACAACCACCUGGACAGGCACUGACACUGAGACGCGAAAGCGUGGGAAACAAACAGGAUUAGAUA
rnacentral:rRNA from 1 species